AUUGAACGCUGGCGGCAUGCUUUACACAUGCAAGUCGAACGGCAGCACGAUAGAGCUUGCUCUGUUGGUGGCGAGUGGCGAACGGGUGAGUAAUGCAUCGGAACGUACCGAGUAUUGGGGGAUAACUGCCCGAAAGGAGAGUUAAUACCGCAUACGCUUUGAGAAGGAAAGUGGGUGCUCUUCGUACCUCACGUUAUUCGAGCGUCCGAUGUCUGAUUAGCUAGUUGGUGGGGUAAAGGCCUACCAAGUCGACGAUCAGUAGCGGGUCUGAGAGGAUGCUGCGCCACACUGGGACGGAGACACGGCCAAGACUCCUACGGGAGGCAGCAGUGGGGAAUUGUGGACAAUGGGGGCAAGCCUGAUCCAGACAUGCCGAGUGUCUGAAGAAGGCCUUCGGGUUGUAAAGAACUUUUGUUAGGGAAGAAAAGGAUAGUGUUAAUACCAUUAUCUGCUGACGGUACCUAAAGAAUAAGCACCGGCUAACUACGUG
rnacentral:rRNA from 1 species